UGUGGAAAUGAUUUUCUUAUACCGCCCCAGUCUGAAGAUUCAUGACUGAUUGGUAACAUUACUGAUCCACA